UAGAGUUUGAUCCUGGCUCAGAUUGAACGCUGGCGGCAGGCCUAACACAUGCAAGUCGAGCGGAAACGACACUAACAAUCCUUCGGGUGCGUUAAUGGGCGUCGAGCGGCGGACGGGUGAGUAAUGCCUAGGAAGUUGCCUUGAUGUGGGGGAUAACCAUUGGAAACGAUGGCUAAUACCGCAUAAUGCCUACGGGCCAAAGAGGGGGACCUUCGGGCCUCUCGCGUCAAGAUAUGCCUAGGUGGGAUUAGCUAGUUGGUGAGGUAAUGGCUCACCAAGGCGACGAUCCCUAGCUGGUCUGAGAGGAUGAUCAGCCACACUGGAACUGAGACACGGUCCAGACUCCUACGGGAGGCAGCAGUGGGGAAUAUUGCACAAUGGGCGAAAGCCUGAUGCAGCCAUGCCGCGUGUAUGAAGAAGGCCUUCGGGUUGUAAAGUACUUUCAGUUGUGAGGAAGGGGGUAGCGUUAAUAGCGCUGUCUCUUGACGUUAGCAACAGAAGAAGCACCGGCUAACUCCGUGCCAGCAGCCGCGGUAAUACGGAGGGUGCGAGCGUUAAUCGGAAUUACUGGGCGUAAAGCGCAUGCAGGUGGUUCAUUAAGUCAGAUGUGAAAGCCCGGGGCUCAACCUCGGAACUGCAUUUGAAACUGGUGAACUAGAGUACUGUAGAGGGGGGUAGAAUUUCA
rnacentral:rRNA from 1 species